rnacentral:rRNA from 1 species
AUGUCGGCCAUCGCCGGCGAGCCCCACCGCGUAGUCCUCCUCGUCGAUCUCAACCCCCUCAUCCCCUCCCAAAACCCUAGCGCUCCCACUGCCCANNNNNNNNNNNNNNNNNNNNNNNNNNNNNNNNNNNNNNNNNNNNNNNNNNNNNNNNNNNNNNNNNNNNNNNNNNNNNNNNNNNNNNNNNNNNGCCUCUUCUUCUCCUCCCUCUCCCCGAUCCUCUCCUCCUCCCUCCUCCCCAAGCACCUCCCCUCCGCCCCGACACCGCUUUCCUUCCACCUCCCCCCGGCCACCCUCGCCUCCCUCGCCCCGCUCCGCCGCCUCGCCCUCCCGGCCUCGCCGCACCCCCGCGUCACUGCCUCCUCCUCCAUCGCCAAGUCGCUCCUCCAGCUCGAGCACGACUACUCCUGGGACGCCGAGUCCCAACACGGCCGCCGCCGCCGCGUCUUCGACCGGCCGCCCAAUCUGGCGGUUCUCUUCACGGCCGUCUAUGAUUUCGAGGAAUUCGGGGAGAACGCGAGCUCUGAGAAGAGGUUUCGGGGGGUUUUCGAGCCAGUGAGGGACCGGCUUCAAUCCAGGGGCAUACAGGUGUGCUGGGUUGCCGUUGGUUCCACCAGCGAGGGGAUCCGGAGGGCGGUGACAGACCUAGGGUGGAGGUUUACGACAGCAGAUGCAGUCACGUUGGGGUCGGCGGUUGCGCCGCCAGGGCUCGUCUGGGGAGGUGUUGGAUUUGGGUGUGGGGGAGGUGAACGGCGAGGUGAGGUAGUGUUGGAGAUUGCCGAUGUGAAAGGGAAGCCACUGGUUUGCAAGGGCUGCGAGGUUGAGAUUGUUGGCUCCACGCUGUCGCAGGUUGGUAGCCAUGGUGUGUCCAGGAUACAUGUGAAGGCGGUGUGUGAGGUGGGGAAUUGCGAGCAGUUGAUUGGCAGAGAUGGCGAGGUUGUUCUGGUACGUGGGUUGCCACAGGAUAGGAGCAAGGGUGACGGUGAAGGAGCUGUGGACAGGGAGUUUUUCCCACAUCGGCUUCUCGAGUUGGUUCUUGCCGAUGAGAGCAAUUGCCUUCACGCUGGAAUGCCUAUUUGGCAGCUCAUUCUGGUUUUCCUUCAUAGGAAAAACUAUUGUGCAAUGGUUUCGAUUUCUGAUGGAGACGAGAAGUCUGUAGAUGGCCUUCUCGUACCUUUCUCGAUGAACUAUGCAUUACUGCAUGUCGACAGGAAUGGCACUGGUUUAGAACAGGUGGUUGCGAAGAGUCCUGAAACAUUGGAUAGUUCCAUGCCCGAUCCACCAAAGGAGCUUAGUGUGAGGAAGAAGAGAAUCAGGCUGGUCAGUAAGCUACUUGUGGCAGCCAGUUGGAGCACCUUCUGUGAUGUGCUCCUCAAACAUGCUGAUGGCAGCAUGCCAGUGGUGGAGUUGGAAGACCUGUAUUUCAGCAGGUAUGGCACUGCAUCCAAAAAGUUGCGGUUUCUGAAAUGUUGGCUGAAACAAGUGAAAUUGUCAUCUCUUGGUACUUCAUCAAGCCUUCAUAUAGGCGAGACACGUCCUUCCUCAAAGGAUGAAGGAGAAGCAAAACUUCAUGUCUCAGAGGAGGAUGGGGCUCCUCAUGUCAACUGUUCGGUGGAUGAAGCAGAUUGUAACAAAAUUGGCAAACCAGUGGAUGAAGCAGAUUGCAACAAAGUGGAGCAACAAGUGGACGAGGAGACUUCAGCAUUCUCUUCAAUGGAAGAUUUAGAAGCAUUUCUUGGGAGUAUCCCUCAGAAGAUUGAGCAAGGUCUUUGUUCUGAAGAUGCUGAUUUGGGAAAUCUAGCUGAACGCUUGGUUGGCUUGUCUGUUGAUGCGCUGAUGAUUAAGAAUGGAAAGAUUACAGUGAGAUAUUUUGAACAUAGGGAAGUAGAUGAUGCUUCUGAUGCGAAAAUUAUCUCCGAAGCUUCCAUUAUUCUGUUGAGGAAACCCAAAGAGCUUCUGUUGAAGUACAAAGACAACAAUUCAGCAUCUGCUGGAUCAGAACAAACCUCAAAAUACAACGCAAAUUACAAAAUCCGAGAGCAUGAACUGCAGAUAUUACUUAGGUUGGAAAUAAUCAGAUCCAAACUUGGCCCAGACUUUGAGGAAGGUUCAAAACAGAAGAUGAUAAAAGAGAUCUGUUCUCUUUUGCAGUUUAUUGAUAUAAACCUCCAAGGGGAUUCAUUUCAGUCUGACAGUAUUGUUAAGUUUGCUGAGAAGACCAUCAAGUCCAGGUACAUGGACUCUAUGGAGGAUGUGAUCAAGAAGAUAUACACGGAGAUGGAGUUUGAUCUGUUCGACGAAGAUGACUUGCCAUGUUCAGACUCUCUACCCAGCAGCAGCAACCAGGACGACGGCAAGGGCAACAAGAGCCGGAGCAGCCAGAGGAACUGCGCCGGCAGCUCAAGCGCUCCCACACUUCACACGAGGAGCAGACACCACGACAGGCACGAGGAGCAGCUGGCGCGAGUGAGUGAGCGGCGGAACAGGGAGCGCAGGCUCUCCUCCUUCACCAGCUGGGUGCCGGACCUGCGCCGCGUGUGGGCGCUCAAGCACCCCGGUAAGGAGCCUCCCCUGGCGGUUGCGGUGCCUCGGUCCAGGCAGCAUUCAAAGCGGAGGAAGCGGCGCGCGGCGUGCACCGACAUGGUCUGCGAGACGCCCAUGACGGCCGCAAAGAAGCAGCAGCCGGAGCAGGACGGGUCGGGGUCUGACAAGAUGAUGUCGAUUGGGUCCGUGUCAAAGACCUUGUUCGACGACGACACGGAGGUGAGCAGUUCCAGCAGCGUGUGA